AGUGAACGCUGGCGGUAGGCCUAACACAUGCAAGUCGAACGGCAGCACAGUAAGAGUUUGCUCUUACGGGUGGCGAGUGGCGGACGGGUGAGGAAUACAUCGGAAUCUACUUUUUCGUAGGGGAUAACGUAGGGAAAGUUACGCUAAUACCGCAUAUGAUCUACGGGUGAAAGCAGGGGAUCUUCGGACCUUGCGCGACUGAAUGAGCCGAUGUCGGAUUAGCUAGUUGGCGGGGUAAAGGCCCACCAAGGCGACGAUCCGUAGCUGGUCUGAGGGGAUGAUCAGCCACACUGGAACUGAGACACGGUCCAGACUCCUACGGGAGGCAGCAGUGGGGAAUAUUGGACAAUGGGCGCAAGCCUGAUCCAGCCAUACCGCGUGGGUGAAGAAGGCCUUCGGGUUGUAAAGCCCUUUUGUUGGGAAAGAAAAGCAGCAGGUUAAUACCCCGCUGUUCUGACGGUACCCAAAGAAUAAGCACCGGCUAACUUCGUG
rnacentral:rRNA from 1 species